AAUACUUAGGCGGCGACCGGCAAACGGGUGCGGAACACGUACACAAACUUCCUUCCAAUGUGGAAUAGCC
rnacentral:rRNA from 1 species